rnacentral:lncRNA from 1 species
UCCAUAGUCAACAUUGUAACCAAAAUAGAUCAAGUGUCGGAACAAUUUUUGCAUAGAAAUAGGAUAUUUAACAUAUUAUUUUGCUACAGUACUUUUAAACUAUUUUUACAUUUAUUUAGGACAUCCAAUUAAUGCUAUCUCAUGAACUUUGAAAUAUGAAAAAGAAAAAAUGAUAAAUUGUAGCAUACCGUAUCUUGAACAGGGCAUGAAUUCAUGUUUUACUUUUGUUACUUAAACAUCCAUCAACCACAAGACACGAAAAAGAAAACUUCCUACCGUUUAAGCUCAACAUAAAUAUUAAAUUGCAACAUAUAUAUUAUAGUAAGGUUUUAGUAGCAGGCACUAUCCAUGACCACAUAAAACACGGACAGAAAUUUGAUGAAACAAGAUAAUCUUUACUUGAUCUUUUUAUAAUUUAGAAUCCAAACACAAGCUGGGAAAGCUUGGGGUCUAAUUUUGAAACCAAACCCUAUACCUAAUUGUUUAUUAAAUUUAUUUUUUAUAUCUCAAUUUUAAACUUUGUCGAUCUAGGAUAACUUUUGCAGGUUGCCGGCUUCCAUCAACACCCACCUCCCCCUCACCAACUUUGCACCACGGUGGGGCAUCUGUUAUACAAGACUCUACCACGCUUAGACUUUGUUGCUCAUGUAUAUUAAUUAGCUGACAAUUCUACAAAAUAGAUAUGCCUAUUGACCUAACUUUACUUUUUUCAGGCACCCAUUGUAAACAUUCAUCUCACACACAAGAUAUGUCUUUUUAACCUUCACU